rnacentral:hammerhead_ribozyme from 1 species
AUCUAGCUGACAAGUCUUGAAUAGGAUGAAACGCGUGUCCUGGAU